rnacentral:tRNA from 1 species
GGAAGCGCAUGCGGUCCGGUGAUCGUCCCGGUCUUCAAAACCGGCGGGCGGCAUCUUCGAUGUCGCCGGUGUGUUCGACUCACACACGCUUCCGCCA